GAUGAACGCUGGCGGCGUGCCUAAUACAUGCAAGUCGAGCGAACAGACGAGGAGCUUGCUCCUCUGACGUUAGCGGCGGACGGGUGAGUAACACGUGGAUAACCUACCUAUAAGACUGGGAUAACUUCGGGAAACCGGAGCUAAUACCGGAUAAUAUAUUGAACCGCAUGGUUCAAUAGUGAAAGACGGUUUUGCUGUCACUUAUAGAUGUAUCCGCGCCGCAUUAGCUAGUUGGUAAGGUAACGGCUUACCAAGGCAACGAUGCGUAGCCGACCUGAGAGGGUGAUCGGCCACACUGGAACUGAGACACGGUCCAGACUCCUACGGGAGGCAGCAGUAGGGACUCUUCUGCACAGGGCGAAAGCCUGACGGAGCAACGCCGCGUGAGUGAUGAAGGUCUUCGGAUCGUAGAACUCUGUUAUUAGGGAAGAACAAAUGUGUAAGUACCUAGGCACGUCUGGACGGUACCUAAUCAGAAAGGCACGGCUAACUACGUG
rnacentral:rRNA from 1 species